AAUACAUGCAAGUCGAGGGGCAGCAGGUCCCGCAGCAAUGCGGGAUGCUGGCGACCGGCAAACGGGUGCGGAACGCGUACACAACAUACCUUUAAGUGGGGGAUAGCAUUGGGAAACUGGUGGUAAUACCCCAUAAUACUAUUGGGAGGCAUUUCCUGAUAGUUAAAGCUACGGUGCUAAGAGAUUGGUGUGCGUCCGAUUAGCUAGUUGGUAGGGUAACGGCCUACCAAGGCGACGAUCGGUAGGGGGUGUGAGAGCAUGACCCCCCACACGGGUACUGAGACACGGACCCGACUCCUACGGGAGGCAGCAGUAAGGAAUAUUGGACAAUGGAGGGAACUCUGAUCCAGCCAUGCCGCGUGAAGGAUGAAGGCGCUCAGCGUUGUAAACUUCUUUUGGAUGGGAACAAUAACUUCUACGUGUAGGAGCUUGAGGGUACCAUCAGAAUAAGCACCGGCUAACUCCGUGCCAGCAGCCGCGGUAAAAC
rnacentral:rRNA from 1 species